rnacentral:rRNA from 1 species
UACGUAGGGUGCAAGCGUUAUCCGGAUUCAUUGGGUUUAAAGGGUGCGUAGGUGGGGCGAUAAGUCAGUGGUGAAAUCCUGCGGCUUAACCGUAGAAUUGCCAUUGAUACUGUCGCUCUUGAGUACGCUUGACGUGGGCGGAAUGCGCCGUGUAGCGGUGAAAUGCGUAGAGAUUGGGAAGAACACCGGUGGCGAAAGCGCUCUGCUGGGCCGCAACUGACACUAAUGGACGAAAGCUAGGGGAGCGAAAGGG